GGGUAUCAAAUAAGAAUUGGGGGCUAGGUGACACAAUCUAUGAAGAAAUGGAGGAUGAGCUUGAGGCAUGGGAAGAUUUCUACCUUCCUGAAAGAGUAGAGAUGAGAGUUUUCGGUGCCAUUGAUAUGUUCCCGAGUCUAGCGUUGGGACUGCAGCUGAUCAUUCUGGCAGGCAAAGAUGGCAACAUCUAUGCUUAUGAAAAUGAGGUGUUGCACCAAGUGGCUGACAGCUUGCCGGACCUCUUCCAAAAGGGAAUUGAGUUUCCUGGAACCAAAGUCUACAACUAUGGGGAAUGUUUUGCUCCUAUGACAGAAGAAGAAUAUGAUGAAUUAAUGGAGGAUGAAGAAGUAAAGAAUAUUAAAGGGGAGACCAGGGAAUUCAUCAAAAGCAACGAAGCCAAAUUUCUGAGCAUACUGGCCCGCAUUGAAGAAAAAGAGAAUGCAGAAAAGGUUGCUUCCAAUAAAGUCCUGCCUUCUAACCAUAUCCGCCCCAAGCAUGUUGUUGAUCAAAUGCUGAAGCAUGCAGAUAUAUUGGUCAUAUUUAAUUUAAAUGAUGCCUAUUGUAAGACAUUCUACAAGUUCUACCAGCUACUACAGCAUGAAAAGUGGGAAAGUAAUGGGAAUUGGAGAAGAUGUCUGCUCCGCUUCAGGCAUUUUCUACGUGAGCAUAAACUCUUUGAUUACAUUAAUUUUUUUACCAAUGAAGUCCAUGUCUUUGCUCCUGAAAAGGGAACUGUCCCACAACUGCAAUGGCACCCAAACAGUUACAUGUUAACUGACAAUGCAAGAUGACAUUUUUGAAGAGAGCUCAAUAAAUAUCAAAGGGCUUGCUCAACUCGCGCCGGCGCGUCCUGCUGGAUAUUUUCAUCAUUUUCAAAUUGAAAACAAAUAUUCUCCUGCAAUGUAAUCUGUAUGAAACAAAGCGAUUUACAGUUUUCCAGGCUCAGCUUCAUUAUCUGUAAUGUGAUCACACCCACCAGCUGAGCGCGCCAUUCAUACGCUAAUGUGCUGCGACGAUCAAGGGAAAUUUUCCUAAUUUUCCUCAGAAGAAGAGCGGGACUCCGAUGAACGUUUGUAUUUUGAAGAGAGACUUGAUCCAGCCGAUGAUACAAUUUCAGCCGAUGCCAUCCUGGAUACUUCACAACAACAAAAACGGGGUGGUUGUGGCAGCGGGGGCGUGGUCAAGCGCCCAUCUGGAGAGAGAAAGCGGUAAGGGUGCUUGUACCUGAGCUAAAUUAUGUCUAACACCUCUCUCUAAAUUCAAUGAGUAUGGGGAGAGUGGCAUAUAAACGGCCACAGAACCACCAGAUGGGAGAGAGUCAGAGACCGAGAGUCCCGUUGUGAAGCUGCUUUAUUUUGUGAAGCCAUUUCAUUUUGUGAAGCUGUGAAAAGUGCUGAGUUGACUAAUUAAAAAGUCUUACCUUUGUUUGGAGCAACCUGCCUCCUGUGUCCUUCCUACGCAAUCCUCUACACUGGUGCCGAAACCCGGGACACGGAUUAGCUCUCGGAGAUCCUCUAGGCCCUCGCCAGCCUGCACCAGAAUCAUCAACAAACCCUGCUUGAGCGUGGCGUCUUGGCCGGCUGGAUCCCCGCAACUCCAGCAGGCUGCCCCCGACUGGGUUGGAGCGUGCCGGAUAACCACUAUCCACCAACGCUUGGUUCAACACGGGGCAUUGGGCACAGUUAAAAGUGUGAGUGUGAAGUGUGUGCAUGGGGAUAUUCACAAAUACCCUGUGAUGACCCUUGCAAUUACAUUUCUUGGAACAAAACGUAGAGAGGAGGUCGCGGUUAGUUCCCGCCUCACCCAUCCGCUGAUAAAGCGAGGAGAUGUGAUAUGUGCGAUGCUCUGGCACGGGAGGCGGAGCCAGACCCCUCUUCGUCUGCUCCACAUCAGGAUGACGUGAGGGGGAGAGGCUGUGGCCCCUCCCAU